rnacentral:sRNA from 1 species
UUAAUAAAAUUUAUGGAACAGGUUUAAAUAUUUAUGAAUUUUUUGGAACAAAUGUAAAUACAUGUAUAACUGAGAUUUUUGGAACAGCUAUUACAUUUUUAAAAAAAUUUAUGUAUUAGAUAUUAAUAUUAAAAGAGCUGGAUGGCUGUGGCCAUUUUGAUACAUGUACUAUUUUGGUUUCCUUAUAAUAAAAAGGAGAACUGUGUAAAUACAUGUGUAUGGUAAAAAAAUGUACAAAAUUCAAAGCUAGAAUAUAUGAAUUUUAUUUUUAUUGAAUAAUAGUUUAUAUAUUUGAAAAAUUCAAGAAAAUCUGGUGGCUAAUUUUUUUGACGACCCUGCAGUCUCCUUUAUGAAACUUUAUUUGGAACAGGUAGUUGUACAGUACGUGGCAUAUGUCUUCGCUUACUGACCUAAAUGUUGUUAGAUGAUUUUUCCAAUCACUGGUUGGUUCUCUUCUCGCGGUGUUCAUUUUAGACAUUAUUGAAUACAUGUACUGGGUAAAAUGUUGUAUAGUCUAUGUGGUGUAUGACCUCUUCUAAGGCCAAUUUGGUUUUAAGAAUGGUUCAUGUUGAAUAUAGUGAAUAAAAUGUUGAUUUUAACUGUU